GACGAACGCUGGCGGCGUGCUUAACACAUGCAAGUCGAGCGGAAAGGCCCUGCUUUUGUGGGGUGCUCGAGUGGCGAACGGGUGAGUAACACGUGAGUAACCUGCCCUUGACUUUGGGAUAACUUCAGGAAACUGGGGCUAAUACCGGAUAGGAGCUCCUGCUGCAUGGUGGGGGUUGGAAAGUUUCGGCGGUUGGGGAUGGACUCGCGGCUUAUCAGCUUGUUGGUGGGGUAGUGGCUUACCAAGGCUUUGACGGGUAGCCGGCCUGAGAGGGUGACCGGCCACAUUGGGACUGAGAUACGGCCCAGACUUCUACGGGAGGCAGCAGUGGGGAAUAUUGCACAAUGGGCGGAAGCCUGAUGCAGCAACGCCGCGUGCGGGAUGACGGCCUUCGGGUUGUAAACCGCUUUCGCCUGUGACGAAGCGUGAGUGACGGUAAUGGGUAAAGAAGCACCGGCUAACUACGUG
rnacentral:rRNA from 1 species